rnacentral:rRNA from 1 species
CCUACGGGUGGCUGCAGUAGGGAAUUUUGGACAAUGGGCGAAAGCCUGAUCCAGCAACGCCGCGUGUGCGAUGAAGGCCUUCGGGUUGUAAAGCACUUUUAGGGGAGAUGAGAAUGGACAGUACCCCCUGAAUAAGCCUCGGCUAACUACGUGCCAGCAGCCGCGGUAAGACGUAGGAGGCGAGCGUUAUCCGGAUUUAUUGGGCGUAAAGCGCGUGCAGGCGGUUCUGUAAGUUGGGUAUGAAAUCUCCUGGCUUAACUGGGAGAGGCUGCUCAAAACUGCAGGACUCGAGAAUGGGAGAGGGAGGUGGAAUUCCGGGUGUAGUGGUGAAAUGCGUAGAUAUCCGGAGGAACACCAGUGGCGAAAGCGGCCUCCUAGACCAUUUCUGACGCUCAGACGCGAAAGCUAGGGUAGCAAACGGGAUUAGAUACCCCAGUAGUC